ACGAACGCUGGCGGCGUGCCUAAUACAUGCAAGUUGAGCGCUGAAGGUUGGUACUUGUACCAACUGGAUGAGCAGCGAACGGGUGAGUAACGCGUGGGGAAUCUGCCUUUGAGCGGGGGACAACAUUUGGAAACGAAUGCUAAUACCGCAUAAAAACUUUAAACACAAGUUUUAAGUUUGAAAGAUGCAAUUGCAUCACUCAAAGAUGAUCCCGCGUUGUAUUAGCUAGUUGGUGAGGUAAAGGCUCACCAAGGCGAUGAUACAUAGCCGACCUGAGAGGGUGAUCGGCCACAUUGGGACUGAGACACGGCCCAAACUCCUACGGGAGGCAGCAGUAGGGAACCUUCGGCAAUGGACGAAAGUCUGACCGAGCAACGCCGCGUGAGUGAAGAAGGUUGUCGGAUCGUAAAACUCUGUUGGUAGAGAAGAACGUUGGUGAGAGUGGAAAGCUCAUCAAGUGACGGUAACUACCCAGAAAGGGACGGCUAACUACGUG
rnacentral:rRNA from 1 species